AUUCCCACCAAACUCCAUGCAGGCCCUACUCAGCCUAACAAUCAAGCUGCUGCUCUGCAGAAAAGGGGUCUCCCUCCCCAUAAACAGUGCUCACCCUCCUUAGGAGGCCAGUGCAAUUUUAAAGAUUUUAUUUUUUUCCUUUUUCUCCCCAAAGCCCCUGGGUACAUAGUUGUAUAUUCUUCGUUGUGGGUCCUUCUAGUUGUAGCAUGUGGGAUGCUGCCUCAGCGUGGUUUGAUGAGCAGUGCCAUGACCGCGCCCAGGAUUCGAACCAACGAAACACUGGGCCGCCUGCAGCGGAGCGCGUGAACUUAACCACUCGGCCACGGGGCCAGCCCCCGAGGCCAGUGUAAUUUUAGAGAGAAAAAAAUGAUUGGCCUCUGUAUUGAUAAAGUCUCUCCAUUGCAAGCAACUGAAGUUAACUUAAGCAAAAAAGGAAUUGAUUGUUUCAAGCGGCUGGGAAGGAUAUAAGCUAGUGAUUAAAGGAAGAACUGUAGGAACCAGGGCAUCCAUCGGGCUGGAACCAAGGAUUCAACCCGACCAGGACUGCCGCAUCCUUCCCCUCUCAUCCCUGAUUAUCUCCUCUGGGCAGGGAACACGGCUGCAGCAGCUUGGAAAACCCAGGAAGGGGGAGCUGCUUUCUCCCACUCUCAGUAUUCCUAUGCCUGGAAGGGCAGUGAUUGGCCGUCCUUAAAUCACAUGCACGCUCGUUGGGCCAAUUACCCUUGCCAGGGAGACGGGAGACUAUAAUUGACCAGGCUGGGCCAUAGGUAAGCCUUCCCCUGAGGCACAAGCUUAGCCAGGUGAUUGAUUGACAGCAUCACCAGAAAAUAAUGAGUAGACAUGGAGAAAAAACAUUCUGGGAGCAGAGACAGCUCAUGCAAACAUUGGAAGAUUGGGCCUUCUUAGCAGCCUUCUACCUCCUGGCUCUCCAUCUGCUUCUCUAGGAAGGAGGAUGGAUGAGGACCCAUGGGACGACAUCAGGCAACCUGACACCAGAUACAUCAGUGGGGUGGACCCCACAGGGCUAUGGCUGUCCCAGCUGCCACUGGCCUCUCCCCACCUGCCCUUGGGUCCACAGAGUGCUGGGAGGAAAACGAAUAGCAGAGCCAGCUGGGGGUUCCAGAAUGGCUUCCCUAAGGAACUGACACUGGCACUGAGAUGAUAAGCAGUUACCCAGGCAAAGACAUCCCAGUGGGAAAUGUGCCCAGCACUGGGAUUGGUAUGUGCCAUGGGCGAACGUGGUGCUAAAGACACUGCGCAGAGGGACAUACUCACGUUUUGGGAAGACAACACUGGCUGCUCUAUGGGAACAGACCACGGAAGAAAUAGAGAGUAGCAGCGGGAGACAAUUCAGCAGCUGCUGCAGCCUCCCAGGUGAGAGGCCAUGGGGCCUUGGACCAGGUGCUAGCAGUGGAAACGGAG
rnacentral:lncRNA from 1 species